rnacentral:tmRNA from 1 species
GGGGGUGAUCCGGUUUCGACGGGAUGAGUUGAGGUCAGAUCGCGCGUCGAGGAUUCUCGUUGGCCUCGUUAAAAAACGGGAAAACAAGUAGUUGCGAACAGCGAUUACGCUCUCGCGGCCUAAAUAGUUGCCGCAUGUCGCACGGCCGACGCCUGCUGAGCCGCCGCGGCAUAAUCUAGCAGGACACGCUGCAGGAGGCUCCGUUCGCCCGCUGCAGGGUGCCGAACCGAGCGGAUGGAAGGGGAUAAGCCCGCUGGUCGGCGUACCUCUCCCGAGACUAAUGGCCGGAUACACGCGUAGAAGUUUGGCUGAUUCCAUUUCGGACAGGGGUUCGACUCCCCUCACCUCCAU